rnacentral:rRNA from 1 species
UGAUGAAUAUUGGUCAAUGGGCGCAAGCCUGAACCAGCCAUGCCGCGUGCAGGAAGACGGUCCUAUGGAUUGUAAACUGCUUUUAUUCGGGAAUAAACCACAUUACGUGUAGUGUGCUGAAUGUACCGAAGGAAUAAGGAUCGGCUAACUCCGUGCCAGCAGCCGCGGUAAUACGGAGGAUCCAAGAGUUAUCCGGAUUUAUUGGGUUUAAAGGGUGCGUAGGCGGCCUGUUAAGUCAGGGGUGAAAGACGGUGGCUCAACCAUCGCAGUGCCCUUGAUACUGAUGAGCUUGAAUGGACUAGAGGUAGGCGGAAUGUGACAAGUAGCGGUGAAAUGCAUAGAUAUGUCACAGAACACCGAUAGCGAAGGCAGCUCACUAGGUCUGGAUUGACGCUCAGGGACGAAAGCGGGGGGAGAAAACA